rnacentral:tRNA from 1 species
GGGCGCUUAGCUCAGUUUGGUCAGAGCAGCUGGUUUACAACCAGCAGGUCGGGGGUUCAAGUCCCUCAGCGCCCA